rnacentral:lncRNA from 1 species
ACUACCACAACGCAUGAACGCAGAAACUACAUACAAACCAAUACCAAAUGAAGAUAAAUAUUGGUGUAAUAGUAAAAGGAACAAAGAUAAGAGGAUUUUAGGGUUUUAAGCGUACCUCUGCAUAAGAGAAAGACACUGGACCAGCGAGUGAAUAGUAGAGUGAAGGGUAUUCUUUUCGUGGGAGAUUUGGUUAUAAAGUACUGGGAGGUUGUUAAUUUGUUAUUUCCUCUUAGGGUUAGGAUAUUACCAAAAUGGGGUCUGAACCUCGAAGAUUUUACGGAAAUGGUAAUCCUCCUUCAGAUCUUUUAGGUGGGCUGCGAUUUCAUCGCUGUUGCGUUUUGCCGCGGACCCAAAUCACGCGGAAUCAAUCCUGAAUUCUACUUUGGAUUUUG